rnacentral:rRNA from 1 species
UACGGAGGGUGCGAGCGUUGUCCGGAAUCAUUGGGCGUAAAGGGCGCGUAGGUGGCCCGGUCAGUUCGUGGUGAAAGCGCGGGGCUCAACCCUGCGUCGGCCAUGAAUACUGCCGCGGCUGGAGCACUGUAGAGGCAGGCGGAAUUCCGGGUGUAGCGGUGGAAUGCGUAGAGAUCCGGAAGAACACCGGUGGCGAAGGCGGCCUGCUGGGCCAGUUGCUGGACACUGAGGCGCGGCAGCGUGGGGAGCA